AACGGCAGCACGGACUUCGGUCUGGUGGCGGGUGGCGAACGGGUGAGUAAUGUAUCGGAACGUGCCUAGUAGCGGGGGAUAACUACGCGAAAGCGUAGCUAAUACCGCAUACGCCCUACGGGGGAAAGCAGGGGAUCGUAAGACCUUGCACUAUUAGAGCGGCCGAUAUCGGAUUAGCUAGUUGGUGGGGUAACGGCUCACCAAGGCGACGAUCCGUAGCUGGUUUGAGAGGACGACCAGCCACACUGGGACUGAGACACGGCCCAGACUCCUACGGGAGGCAGCAGUGGGGAAUUUUGGACAAUGGGGGAAACCCUGAUCCAGCCAUCCCGCGUGUGCGAUGAAGGCCUUCGGGUUGUAAAGCACUUUUGGCAGGAAAGAAACGUCCCGGGUUAAUACCCUGGGAAACUGACGGUACCUGCAGAAUAAGCACCGGCUAACUACGUGCCAGCAGCCGCGGUAAUACGUAGGGUGCAAGCGUUAAUCGGAAUUACUGGGCGUAAAGCGUGCGCAGGCGGUUCGGAAAGAAAGAUGUGAAAUCCCAGAGCUUAACUUUGGAACUGCAUUUUUUAACUACCGAGCUAGA
rnacentral:rRNA from 1 species